rnacentral:rRNA from 1 species
UACGUAGGGUGCAAGCGUUGUCCGGAUUUCUUGGGCGUAAAGAGCUCGUAGGCGGUUCCGUAAGUCGAGUGUGAAAAAUCUGGGCUCAACCCAGUGGAGCACUCGAUACUGCGGUGACUAGAGUACGGUAGAGGAGUGUGGAAUUCCUGGUGUAGCGGUGAAAUGCGUAGAUAUCUGGAGGAAUACCGGUGGCGAAGGCGGCAUCCUGGACCGGCAUUGACGCUGAUGAGCGAAAGCUAGGGGAGCAAACGGG